rnacentral:rRNA from 1 species
AUUGAACGCUGGCGGCAGGCCUAACACAUGCAAGUCGAGCGGAGCGGCGGACGGGUGCGGAAUGCCUGCGAAUCUGCCUGGUAGUGGGGGAUAACGUCCGGCAACGGGCGCUAAUAGCGCAUACUAUCAGAUGAGUCUAGGGCGGUUUAGCUAGUUGGGGGGGUAAAGGCCUACCAAGGCGACGAUCGGUAACUGGUCUGAGAGGAUGAUCGGUCAAAGUGGAACUGAGACACGGUCCGGACUCCACCGGAGGGCGGAAGUGGGGAAUAUUGGACAAUGGGCGAAAGCCUGAGGCGGCCAGGCCGCGGGUGUGAGGCAGGUCUUCGGAUUGUAAAGCACUUUAAGUUGGGAGGCGUUACCAACAGAAUAAGCCACGGCUAACUUCGUGCCAGCAGCCGCGGUAAUUC